GAUGAACGCUAGCUACAGGCUUAACACAUGCAAGUCGAGGGGCAGCGGGAUUGAAGCUUGCUUCAAUUGCCGGCGACCGGCGCACGGGUGAGUAACGCGUAUCCAACCUUCCGUACACUCAGGGAUAGCCUUUCGAAAGAAAGAUUAAUACCUGAUGGUAUGAUGAGAUUGCAUGAUAUCAUCAUUAAAGAUUUAUCGGUGUACGAUGGGGAUGCGUUCCAUUAGGUAGUAGGCGGGGUAACGGCCCACCUAGCCAACGAUGGAUAGGGGUUCUGAGAGGAAGGUCCCCCACAUUGGAACUGAGACACGGUCCAAACUCCUACGGGAGGCAGCAGUGAGGAAUAUUGGUCAAUGGACGAGAGUCUGAACCAGCCAAGUAGCGUGAAGGAUGAAGGUCCUACGGAUUGUAAACUUCUUUUAUAAGGGAAUAAACCCUCCCACGUGUGGGAGCUUGUAUGUACCUUAGGAAUAAGCAUCGGCUAACUCCGU
rnacentral:rRNA from 1 species